UGUCAUUCUUGAGUAUUGUUGAGGUAGGCGGAAUGUGUCAUGUAGCGGUGAAAUGCUUAGAUAUGACACAGAACACCGAUCGCGAAGGCAGCUUACCAAGCAAUAACUGACGCUCAUGCACGAAAGCGUGAGGAUCAAACAGGAUUAGAUACCCUGGUAGUCCACGCCGUAAACGAUGAUCACUCGAUGUUGGCGAUACACAGUCAGCGUCUUAGGGAAACUAUUAAGUGAUCCACCUGGGGAGUACGGUCGCAAGAUUGAAACUCAAAGGAAUUGACGGGGGCCCGCACAAGCGGAGGAGCAUGUGGUUUAAUUCGAUGAUACGCGAGGAACCUUACCUGGGCUCGAACGUGGAAUGACAGUCGCGGAAACGUGAUCUUCUUCGGACAUUCUGCGAGGUGCUGCAUGGUUGUCGUCAGCUCGUGCCGUGAGGUGUCGGGUUAAGUCCCAUAACGAGCGCAACCCCUAUCUUUAGUUGCCAUCAGGUAAUGCUGGGGACUCUAAAGAAACUGCCUACGCAAGUAGUGAGGAAGGCGGGGAUGACGUCAAAUCAGCACGGCCCUUACGUCCAGGGCUACACACGUGCUACAAUGGCCGGUACAGAGGGCAGCUACCUGGUGACAGGAUGCAAAUCUCCAAAGCCGGUCUCAGUUCGGAUCGAAGUCUGAAACUCGACUUCGUGAAGUUGGAUUCGCUAGUAAUCGCGCAUCAGCCAUGGCGCGGUGAAUACGUUCCCGGGCCUUGUACACACCGCCCGU
rnacentral:rRNA from 1 species